AUUGAACGCUGGCGGCAGGCCUAACACAUGCAAGUCGAACGAGUGGCGGACGGGUGAGUCAUGUCUGGGAAACUGCCUGAUGGAGGGGGUUAACUACUGGAAACGGUAGCUAAUACCGCAUACCUUCGGAUGUGCCCCGAUGGGCUUAGCUAGUAGGGGGGGUAAAGGCUCACCUAGGCGACGAUCCCUAUCUGGUCUGAGAGGAUGACCAGCCACACUGGAACUGUGACACGGUCCAGACUCCUACGGGAGGCAGAAGUGGGGAAUAUUGCAAAAUGGGCGCAAGCCUGAUCCAGCCAUGCCGCGUGUGUGAAGAAGGUCUUCGGAUUGUAAAGCACUUUAAGUUGGGAGGCGUUACCAAAAGAAUAAGCACCGGCUAACUUCGUGCCAGCAGCCGCGGUAAUAC
rnacentral:rRNA from 1 species